UUGAGUUGAGUUGAGUUGUACUAUUUUAUGAUAAUAUAUAGAAAAGUACAUAUUUUUAAUUGUUAUAGAAUUAAAAAAAAAUUAAAAAUGUGGAAUCCGCCCCAGCCCUAAUAAUUUUUUGCCCCUCUCUAUACCUACAGGCACAAAACCUGGACUCACCCUGCCCCAUUGCCACCCCUAGAUGUACCCUGAAAUAGCUUUUAUAGUAUCAUUCUUUAUUACUGCAACUGUAUAUAGGAUAAAGCAACAAAUAUUUUUAGGUUGCAGAGCCAUUUUGGCAGAUAAAUGCUUUCUAUUUGUAAUCACUCGUUUAUUUUUGAGAGUCAGUUUCAUUUA
rnacentral:misc_RNA from 1 species